UGCCUUUGUGUUGCCUGUUCAUUUCCUUUUCAAAGGGAAUGUGGUGUCAAAAUAGGCAUACAUCAACUCUUGUUGUGAUCUUAAAUGGAAAUCAAAGUACUUCCAUAAAAUAAGAUUCUCUACAAUAAGAACAUCU